AUUGAACGCUGGCGGAAUGCUUUACACAUGCAAGUCGAGCGGCAGCGCGGGGGCAACCCUGGCGGCGAGCGGCGAACGGGUGAGUAACAUAUCGGAACGUACCCAGUCGUGGGGGAUAACUAUCCGAAAGGAUAGCUAAUACCGCAUACGUCCUGAGGGAGAAAGCGGGGGAUCGCAAGACCUCGCGCGAUUGGAGCGGCCGAUAUCGGAUUAGCUAGUUGGUGGGGUAAAGGCUCACCAAGGCGACGAUCCGUAGCGGGUCUGAGAGGACGACCCGCCACACUGGAACUGAGACACGGUCCAGACUCCUACGGGAGGCAGCAGUGGGGAAUUUUGGACAAUGGGGGCAACCCUGAUCCAGCCAUUCCGCGUGAGUGAAGAAGGCCUUCGG
rnacentral:rRNA from 1 species